CGAGAUCGUGCCACUGCCCUCCAGCCUGGGCAACAGAAUGAGACCCUGUCUCAAAAAAUAAUAAUAAUAAUAAAAAGGAUGUUAAAUAUAAUCUGGCUCCUCCGUUUUCUGCCAGUUCUUGAGUCUUUUCAAUGUUCCCACUAUUUGGCCUUUCCAGGCCCCACCUAAACACCCUCAGAGAUGAGGUAUGCACCCAUGACCUAUGUAGCUUAUUCUUUAUGGGCAGUGCUCAUUAUUAAAACAUUCUUCCUGAACGUGAGAUCCACUCUGUCCUCUGACAGCUCUGCUCACUAGAGAGGCCACACAGGCUGGUCGCCCUCCCAAGUUAGCCUGUCAUACCACCCCUUGGUCUUUCCUAGGCUGAGCACCCCAUUUUUCUUCAGCUGUUUCUCAUAACACGAUCUCAAGCCUCUUCUGAACCCCAGUCCUUCCUGAGUCCCCGUAUGAGCAUUUGUCUCUGUGGGCACAACUUCGAGUGUCCUUUAUGAGGAAAUGCGCAUCUCUGAUUGGUGAACUUCCAUCCCUCAGAGAGAAAUAGAAGCACAAAUUUGAAACAAGCUCUCUGUUCCUUUAUGUCUUGGAAACUUUUUAUUUAUCCAUCCAAGCUUUUUUUUUUUUUGAAGCCUUCAAGAGCAGGCAACCAUUUACGAACCUGUUCAUGGAACUUAUUCCACGAACCCAGAAAAUUAAAUAUACCUGAAAUGUAGCACAAAAUAAGUAAAUGAUAAAAGUUCCCUCAAACCUUCCAUCAAGUGGUUUAAAAACUGUCAUUGAUUUUAUGUCUGGAAUCGAAGUUGUUUUGGUGCGUUCAUGCACACACACACAAAUAUACACUAAUCCUAAAAAUGAGAUGGAAAUGAGCUACAAGAAAACUCAAAAGUGCCAUAAUUAUGACUAUCAAAAAUAGUGUUACAGCUCUAGAGUCGUGUUGUGUCCUAUUUGUAUCAAAAUCAUAUUUGGGAGGUCCUUUAUAGGUGGGAGGUGAGUACGUCAAGAGGAAGAGGUUGCUUGAUUCUUGGUCCUUUAGAUUCUUAAGACUCUUUGGCCAGAGUUUUGGAAAAGGGAUUAUGUCAACAAGUAAAAUUACGGUUUCAGGACUGCCUUAGAAACUUUUUCAAAAGAAGAAAGGAAACAGUUCUUUUUAGCCUUUGCUUUUUGGUACCUGUAGGGGGAGCCCUUGAUAGCAGAUAUUUUUCCCCCGUUCACUGGCUUGGAGGAAAACGCCAGGAGUUCAAGCUGGUUAGGUAAUUUUGGCAUUUGGCCCACCUGCCCCAGCUUUGAAGAACAGUAACUUGUACAAGCAGUGCUGACUGAUGCUUGUCAGUCACAUGUGAGCAGAGAUUAGAAAGACGAGUGGCACUUAUUAAAUUUUUCUUAAAUUGUAAGCUUGGCUUCAUGGGUGGGAUUGAUUAUUCCAGCAGUGGAUCUGUGCACAACCAGGUGACUCAUUAGCUAAGCCCAUGAACACGCAUGGACAAGGCAUUGACUUUGUUUCUGUGUUUGUGACUUUUUUUCUUGGAGAAAAGAAAAUGAAGUUGACGUGAAUCAACCUCUUAUUGGUAGGGUUUUUUAAAUGCUGCGGUCCCAGAGAAAGCAGGAGAAGAUUCAAUAAAAAUGAAAGUCUGCAUUACUGAACUUUUAUCAUGUCCUUGGAACUGGACUAUGCGCUUUUCAUACAUUGGGUGGAGGUUAAGUAACAUGCUCAAGCUGGUCACCUGCAUGGCUAGGAUUCUAACCCACUAGCCUGGCCUUACCGCCUGCCUUAGUACAAGAGCAGAUGCUUAGCAAAUCAUGCUGGUUUAUUGGAAGGUCAGCAGUUCAUAUGAUUCAGCACAGGACUCUUUGGCAGAGUGAAGUCCAUGGAAAUCCAACCACUCAUGAAGAAUGCACAGAGGAAUAAGCGCAGAAACGCCCAUUCCCACAGGAUCUGCAUGGAACCUCCUGGGAAGCAGGAUGGGAAAUGUGAAGAGCACUGGGCUUGGCCUCAGAAACUUCAAGCACUUUCUGCCCUGCCAUGGGCUAGCUUGUGACCUCAGGCAAGUCGCUGCACCCUGCCUCCAGCUCUGUGACUUUACAGAGUUGUUGCAAAGACAAUGCUUGGGAAAGUGUCUUCUGAACUCUUCAAUGACCUGUAAACGUAGGUUCCAGCAGGUGCAAUUCACAGAAGGUUCAAGGUUUAGGCCAGCGCAUGUGGCUGUGAACACCAGAUGGAAGAAGAGCACUUUCAAUGCCCGCAGUGCAGAAACUCAGUGAUAUGCUCUGUUUUUCAGUGGAGGGGGGCACUUGGCAUAUGAACUCACACCGCAAGAAUCACAUUUGAGUUAAUGUGUGUUUAUGUUGUGUUGACAAAAAGGGUAGGAAGCCAAGCAUGCUGGUGUGUGCCUGUAGUCCCAGCUACUCAGGAGGCUGAGGCAGGAGGAUUGCUUGAGGCCAGGAGUUCAAGGCUGCAGUGAGCUAUGAUCAUGCUACUGUCUUGCAGUCUGGGCAACAGAGCAAGACCCCAUAUCUAAAAAAAUAAAUAAAAAUUUAAAAAGUAGGAUUAGAUGUAAUACAAUGUUAUCUUCUGCCUCAUAGAUAGCUUGAAAAUUCUGAGAUUUUUCACUAAUAUAUCUAACUCUUCAUCCAAUUGAAGAUAUAAAAAACAUUUUUUAAUUCUGUGUUAACUUUUGUUUUUAAAAGUUAUCCCAUGCUGAACUCUGAAAAACUAUAUAAUUCUUCAUAUUAGUAUAGACUUUACAAUGCAAUUUAAAAUAUAUUAUCUUGUUUGGUAUCUCAGUAAUAUUAUGGAUUAAUUGUGCUUCUGGGAGCUAAGCUGCGGCCCUAACCACCAUUUAGAAAAGGGGUCAGCAGAUGAUAGUCCAAAGGCCAAAUCUGGCCCACAGCCUGUUUUGGCACUACCUGAGAGCUAAGAUUGGUCUUUACAUUUUUAAAGGAUCGUAAGCAAAACAAAACAAAAACAAAAAACCCAGAGAAGAAGACAUGACAGAGACUGGUGGGCAAAACUGAACAUACAAUCUGGCCCUUUACAGAAAAACCCCUGAUCCCACUCCUCGAUUUAGAACAUUAUUUUUCUGAAACUCAUUUUGAGUUCCAGAAAGGUUAUUUACAGAAAGGUUAUAUUGAAUUCCAGAAAGGUUAUUACAGAAAGGUUACAUUUUUGGGAUAUCACAUGCUUCUAAGUCAGAGACUGUUUAUUUUUAAAGGAUUUAUUUAUGUAGCCAUGUGAGAAAACAUAUGAAUAGGAUAUAAAUGGCAAGUAUGUAUUAUCCCAUUCAUAUAUGUAAAAUGAGGAGGUUACACAAACCCAUGUUUGCACAUCUGUGGAAAAUUUCUAGAAGGAUAAACAAAAAUAUGCUAACAAUGGUUAAGCAUACCUUGGGGCGGAUUCUCGGGACUCACUGCAGAAGGGGACUUUUUGCUUUAUUCUGUUCAGUACAUUAUGAAUUUUCUGUCUAAUCACAAACAUGCAUUAUUUUUAUAUGUGGAACAUGAGGAAAGUAAAAUGUCUAGAACUCAA